rnacentral:rRNA from 1 species
UACGUAGGGUGCAAGCGUUGUCCGGAAUUAUUGGGCGUAAAGAGCUCGUAGGCGGUCUGUCGCGUCGGCUGUGAAAACCCGGGGCUCAACCCCGGGCCUGCAGUCGAUACGGGCAGACUAGAGUGUGGUAGGGGGAGACUGGAAUUCCUGGUGUAGCGGUGAAAUGCGCAGAUAUCAGGAGGAACACCAAUGGCGAAGGCAGCUCUCUGGGACGGUACUGACGCUGAGGAGCGAAAGCGUGGGGAGCGAACAGG